UACAGAGGUCUCAAGCGUUGUUCGGAUUCAUUGGGCGUAAAGGGUGCGUAGGUGGUGAUGCAAGUCUGGUGUGAAAUCUCGGAGCUCAACUCCGAAAUUGCACCGGAUACUGCGUGACUCGAGGACUGUAGAGGAGAUCGGAAUUCACGGUGUAGCAGUGAAAUGCGUAGAUAUCGUGAGGAAGACCAGUUGCGAAGGCGGAUCUCUGGGACGGUACUGACGCUGAGACGCGAAAGCGUGGGGAGCGAACAGG
rnacentral:rRNA from 1 species